CAAGAGACUACCAAAACGACACAGAAAUUAACAACUAUAGGUCACCGUACGGCCUUCAAAAAUGAACAAAGCCCAUAUCGCAUAGUCAGCUAUAAAAGGCCCCGAAAUAAUGAAAAACAUUUUCAAACGAAAAAAAAAUAACGGCCUUAUUUAUGUACAAAAAAUGAACGAAAAACAAAUAUGUUACACAUAAACAAACGACAACCACUGAAUUACAGGC
rnacentral:lncRNA from 1 species